UGAGGAACAUGACCUUCGGCGGGGGAUAGCCGGCCCAACGGCCGGGUAAUACCGCGUACGACCACAUGGGGACAUCCCUGAGUGGUGAAAGCAGCAAUGCGCCGAUGAGUGCCUCGCGGCCUAUCAGCUAGUUGGUGAGGUAACGGCUCACCAAGCCAACGACGGGUANCUGGUCUGAGAGGAUGGCCAGCCACAUUGGGACUGAGACACCGGCCCAGACCUCUACGGGAG
rnacentral:rRNA from 1 species